rnacentral:rRNA from 1 species
UGGGGAAUCUUGCGCAAUGGGCGAAAGCCUGACGCAGCCAUGCCGCGUGAAUGAUGAAGGUCUUAGGAUUGUAAAAUUCUUUCAGCAGGGACGAUAAUGACGGUACCUGCAGAAGAAGCCCCGGCUAACUUCGUGCCAGCAGCCGCGGUAAUACGAAGGGGGCUAGCGUUGCUCGGAAUUACUGGGCGUAAAGGGCGCGUAGGCGGGUCGUUUAGUUAGAGGUGAAAGCCCAGGGCUCAACCCUGGAACUGCCUUUAAUACUGGCGACCUAGAGUAUGACAGAGGUGUGUGGAACUCCGAGUGUAGAGGUGAAAUUCGUAGAUAUUCGGAAGAACACCAGUGGCGAAGGCGACACACUGGGUCAUUACUGACGCUGAGGCGCGAAAGCGUGGGGAGCAAACAGG